UGCCUGUACCAAGUCAGGAGUAUGACAGUUGUUAUCCCGUCGUUACCCCUAGUUUUUGGUGGGGUUCGUGUUGUUUAUUCUUUAGUUUUCUAUGUUGUGUCAUGUGUACUAUUGUUUUUCUGUUUGUCUUUUUUCAUUUUUAGCCAUGGCGUUGUCAGUUUGUUUUAGAUUUAUGAGUUUGACUGUCCCUUUGGUAUCUUUCGUCCCUCUUUUGAUGCGUUUGAGCUUUUGAUUUUGCCAUUGAUUGGAGACUUUCCGUUUUUGAAAUUUCCUCGGAGUGCAUUUUGUGAUUUUACUUUUUUCUUUCACUUUUUGUAAUACG
rnacentral:lncRNA from 1 species